rnacentral:piRNA from 1 species
UGUGACUCAGCCACAGAAACAGCCAGCUUG